UUGUUCAUAUUAAAUAAUCUGAAUAAAUAAAAUAUCUAUUUAUGUUUAUGACCAACGAUUUAUAAAUGUUAAACAAUCAUCAAUGUUUUUCAAGAUUUUGAUAUUGUUUUAGAAAAUUGAAUAUUAGUUUAACAAUAUUCAUAUAGUACAUUAAAUUGAAGAUUUGAAUAUUAAAAUGAAACAUUUUAUAGUUUUGGUGAUCUGUUUUAUGCUCGAAUUUGAGCAAAGUCAAGGAGACUAUUCAAGAGCAAUAAAAGAACUGAAGAUUUGUAUUAAAAAAGAUGAAACAGAAUUGACACCU